AUUGAACGCUGGCGGCAAGCCUAACACAUGCAAGUCGAACGAGUGGCGGACGGGUGAGUAAUGUCUGGGAAACUGCCUGAUGGAGGGGGAUAACUACUGGAAACGGUAGCUAAUACCGCAUACCAUCGGAUGUGCCCAGAUGGGAUUAGCUAGUAGGUGGGGUAAAGGCUAACAUAGGCGACGCUCCCUAGCUGGUCUGAGAGGAUGACCAGCCACCCUGGAACGGAGACACGGCCCAGACUCCUACGGGAGGCAGCAGUGGGGAAUAUUGCACAAUGGGCGCAAGCCGGAUGCAGCCAUGCCGCGGGGAUGAAGAAGGCCUUCGGGUUGUAAAGUACUUUCAGCGGGGAGGCGUUACCCGCAGAAGAAGCACCGGCUAACUCCGUGCCAGCAGCCGCGGUAAUAC
rnacentral:rRNA from 1 species